rnacentral:rRNA from 1 species
CCUACGGGAGGCAGCAGUGGGGAAUUUUGGACAAUGGGCGCAAGCCUGGUCCAGCCAUGCCGCGUGUGUGAAGAAGGCCUUCGGGUUGUAAAGCACUUUCGGCCGGAACGAAAUCGCGCGGAUUAAUAACCCGCGUGGAUGACGGUACCGGAAGAAGAAGCACCGGCUAACUACGUGCCAGCAGCCGCGGUAAUACGUAGGGUGCGAGCGUUAAUCGGAAUUACUGGGCGUAAAGGGUGCGCAGGCGGUCCUGCAAGUCAGGCGUGAAAUCCCCGGGCUUAACCUGGGAAUGGCGCUUGAAACUACGGGACUGGAGUAUGGCAGAGGGAGGUGGAAUUCCACGUGUAGCGGUGAAAUGCGUAGAGAUGUGGAGGAACACCGAUGGCGAAGGCAGCCUCCUGGACCAAUACUGACGCUCAUGCACGAAAGCGUGGGGAGCAAACAGGAUUAGAUACCCUGGUAGUCCACGCCCUAAACGAUGAUGACUAGUUGUUGGAGGAGUUAAAUCCUUUAGUAACGCAGCUAACGCGAGAAGUCAUCCGCCUGGGGAGUACGGUCGCAAGAUUAAAACUCAAAGGAAUUGACGG